CGAUUGAAAUUUGUUCGCACAGGUGUAUAUUAUAAUGAACGCACAGAGAUCCACACACGCACAACACUAAUCACAGUAAUCACAGUUUUCCGCGAGCUUUUGCCACAAAUUUUCAGUUUUCCUUUUUGCUUUGACAGCCAAUUGCUAUUCCAAUUGCCGUUGGCCGUUUACUGUUUGCAGUUUUUCUGUUUCUGUUUCUGUUUUUGGAAUCAGUUUUGGUCGCGCCCAGGCCUUAGCCACAGCUCGGUCUCUAGGCCGACAAAGACGAGAGAGCGAA